UACGGAGGGAGCUAGCGUUAUUCGGAAUUACUGGGCGUAAAGGGCGCGUAGGCGGAUGUUUAAGUCGGGGGUGAAAGCCCGGGGCUCAACCUCGGAAUUGCCUUCGAUACUGGACAUCUUGAGUACGGGAGAGGUGAGUGGAACUCCGAGUGUAGAGGUGAAAUUCGUAGAUAUUCGGAAGAACACCAGUGGCGAAGGCGACUCACUGGCCCGUUACUGACGCUGAGACGCGAAAGCGUGGGGAGCAAACAGG
rnacentral:rRNA from 1 species